CCUACGGGUGGCUGCAGUGGGGAAUAUUGCACAAUGGGCGCAAGCCUGAUGCAGCCAUGCCGCGUGUGUGAAGAAGGCCUUCGGGUUGUAAAGCACUUUCAGCGGGGAGGAAGGCGUUAAGGUUAAUAACCUUGGCGAUUGACGUUACCCGCAGAAGAAGCACCGGCUAACUCCGUGCCAGCAGCCGCGGUAAUACGGAGGGUGCAAGCGUUAAUCGGAAUUACUGGGCGUAAAGCGCACGCAGGCGGUCUGUCAAGUCGGAUGUGAAAUCUCCGGGCUCAACCUGGGAACUGCAUUCGAAACUGGCAGGCUAGAGUCUUGUAGAGGGGGGUAGAAUUCCAGGUGUAGCGGUGAAAUGCGUAGAGAUCUGGAGGAAUACCGGUGGCGAAGGCGGCCCCCUGGACAAAGACUGACGCUCAGGUGCGAAAGCGUGGGGGCAAACAGGAUUAGAUACCCCGGUAGUC
rnacentral:rRNA from 1 species